AGACCCGAAACCCGGUGAUCUAGCCAUGGGCAGGUUGAAGGUUGGGUAACACUAACUGGAGGACCGAACCGACUAAUGUUGAAAAAUUAGCGGAUGACCUGUGGCUGGGGGUGAAAGGCCAAUCAAACCGGGAGAUAGCUGGUUCUCCCCGAAAGCUAUUUAGGUAGCGCCUCGUGAAUUCAUCUCCGGGGGUAGAGCACUGUUUCGGCUAGGGGGCCAUCCCGGCUUACCAACCCGAUGCAAACUGCGAAUACCGGAGAAUGUUAUCACGGGAGACACACGGCGGGUGCUAACGUCCGUCGUGAAGAGGGAAACAACCCAGACCGCCAGCUAAGGUCCCAAAGUCAUGGUUAAGUGGGAAACGAUGUGGGAAGGCCCAGACAGCCAGGAUGUUGGCUUAGAAGCAGCCAUCAUUUAAAGAAAGCGUAAUAGCUCACUGGUCGAGUCGGCCUGCGCGGAAGAUGUAACGGGGCUAAACCAUGCACCGAAGCUGCGGCAGCGAACGUAUCACUUAAAGCGAUUCAGCGGGUUACGAUUGACGGAGCGAAGCGACGUCAAAGCGUAUACAAAGUCGAGUCGGUUUAAGGAUACGUUCGUUGGGUAGGGGAGCGUUCUGUAAGCCCGUGAAGGUGGCCUGUGAGGGUUGCUGGAGGUAUCAGAAGUGCGAAUGCUGACAUAAGUAACGAUAAAGCGGGUGAAAAGCCCGCUCGCCGGAAGACCAAGGGUUCCUGUCCAACGUUAAUCGGGGCAGGGUGAGUCGACCCCUAAGGCGAGGCCGAAAGGCGUAGUCGAUGGGAAACGGGUUAAUAUUCCCGUACUUGGUGUUACUGCGAAGGGGGGACGGAGAAGGCUAUGUUGGCCGGGCGACGGUUGUCCCGGUUUAAGCGUGUAGGUGUGUGUUCCAGGUAAAUCCGGUUCACUUUAAC
rnacentral:rRNA from 1 species